rfam:Schistosoma haematobium scaffold110_31, whole genome shotgun sequence.
GCACUGCUGAGGAGUUCCACAAUAGAACGAAACGGUCAGCCGUCCAGUGC